GUCGAACGCUGGCGGCGUGCCUAAUACAUGCAAGUCGAGCGAAGCGGAGGAUGGGUGAGUAACGCGUGGGUAAGCUGCACUUAAGUAUGGGAUGCCAAUUGGAAACAGAUGCUAAUAACGGAUAAUAAAGGAUGGACUUGCGAUGCAUUAGCGAGUUGGUAAGGUAACGGCUUACAAAGGCGAUGAUGCAGAGCCGCUUUGAGAGACUGAUCGGCCACAUUGGGACUGAGACACGGUCCAGACUCCUACGGGAGGCAGCAGUAGGGAAUCUGCCACAAUGGACGAAAGUCUUAUGGAGCAACGCCGCGUGAGUGAAGAAGGUUUUCGGAUCGUAAAGCUCUGUUAUUGGUGAAGCGGUAAUCAACCAGAAAGUCACGGCUAACUACGUGCCAGCAGCCGCGGUAAUUC
rnacentral:rRNA from 1 species